rnacentral:tRNA from 1 species
UGGGGCGUCGUCAAGUGGUAAGACAACGGCCUUUGGAGCCGUUUACCGUAGGUUCGAAUCCUACCGCCCCAACCA